GACGAACGCUGGCGGCGUGCUUAACACAUGCAAGUCGAACGGAAAGGCCCUGCUUUUGUGGGGUGCUCGAGUGGCGAACAGGUGAGUAACACGUGAGUAACCUGCCCUUGACUUUGGGAUAACCUCAGGAAACUGGGGCUAAUACCGGAUAGGAGCUCCUGCUGCAUGGUGGGGGUUGGAAAGUUUCGGCGGUUGGGGAUGGACUCGCGGCUUAUCAGCUUGUUGGUGGGGUAGUGGCUUACCAAGGCUUUGACGGGUAGCCGGCCUGGGAGGGGGACCGGCCACAUUGGGACUGAGAUACGGCCCAGACUCCUACGGGAGGCAGCAGUGGGGAAUAUUGCACAAUGGGCGGAAGCCUGAUGCAGCAACGCCGCGUGGGGUAUGACGGCCUGCGGGUUGUAAACCGCUUUCGCCUGUGACGAAGCGUGAGUGACGGUAAUGGGUAAAGAAGCACCGGCUAACUACGUG
rnacentral:rRNA from 1 species